rnacentral:rRNA from 1 species
UACGAAGGUCCCAAGCGUUGUUCGGAAUCACUGGGCGUAAAGGGAGCGUAGGCGGCGUGGUAAGUCAGAUGUGAAAUCCCGGGGCUCAACCCCGGAACUGCAUCCGAUACUGCCAUGCUAGAGGAUUGGAGAGGUAGCUGGAAUUCUUGGUGUAGCAGUGAAAUGCGUAGAGAUCAAGAGGAACACUCGUGGCGAAAGCGAGCUACUGGACAAUUCCUGACGCUGAGGCUCGAAGGCUAGGGUAGCGAAAUGG